CUUGUUGUUUCUAAGGCAUGGAGCUUGUUGUGUCUAGGGCAUGGAGCUUGUUGUUUCUAAGGUAUGGAGCUUGUUGUUUCUAAGGCAUGGAGCUUGUUGUGUCUAGGGAAUGGAGCUUGUUUUUUCUAGGGAAUGGAGCUUGUUGUUUCUAGGGAAUGGAGCUUGUUGUUUCUAGGGCAUGGAGCUUGUUGUUUCUAGGGAAUGGAGCCUGUUGUUUCUAGGGCAUGGAGCUUGUUGUGUCUAGGGCAUGGAGCUUGUUGUGUCUAGGUCAUGGAGCUUGUUGUGUCUAGGGCAUGGAGCUUGUUGUGUCUAAGGUAUGGAGCUUGUUGUUUCUAGGUCAUGGAGCUUGUUGUGUCUACGGUAUGGAGCUUGUUGUUUCCAAGGCAUGGAGCUUGUUGUGUCUAGGGAAUGGAGCUUGUUGUGUCUAGGGAAUGGAGCUUGUUGUGUCUAGAUCAUAGAGCUUGUUGUUUCUAGGUCAUGGAGCUUGUUGUGUCUAAGGUAUGGAGCUUGUUGUUUCUAAGGCAUGGAGCUUGUUGUGUCUAGGGAAUGGAGCUUGUUGUGUCUAGGUCAUGGAGCUUGUUGUGUCUAGGUCAUGGAGCUUGUUGUGUCUAUGCCAUGGAGCUUGUUGUGUCUAGGGCAUGGAGUCUGUUGUGUCUAGGGCAUGGAGCUUCUUGUGUCUAGGGAAUGGAGCUUGUUGUGUCUAGGGAAUGGAGCUUGUUGUUUCUAAGGCAUGGAGCUUGUUGUGUCUAGGGAAUGGAGCUUGUUGUUUCUAAGGCAUGGAGCUUGUUGUGUCUAAGGUCAUGGAGCUUGUUGUUUCUAAGGCAUGGAGCUUGUUGUGUCUAGGGCAUGGAGCUUGUUGUUUCUAAGGCAUGGAGCUUGUUGUGUCUAGGUCAUGGAGCUUGUUGUGUCUAGGGAAUGGAGCUUGUUGUUUCUAAGGCAUGGAGCUUGUUGUGUCUAGGUCAUGGAGCUUGUUGUGUCUAGGGCAUGGAGCUUGUUGUGUCUAAGGUCAUGGAGCUUGUUGUUUCUAAGGCAUGGAGCUUGUUGUUUCUAAGGCAUGGAGCUUGUUGUGUCUAGGUCAUGGAGCUUGUUGUUUCUAGGGAAUGGAGCUUGUUGUUUCUAAGGUAUGGAGCUUGUUGUGUCUAGGUCAUGGAGCCUGUUGUUUCUAAGGCAUGGAGCUUGUUGUGUCUAAGGUCAUGGAGCUUGUUGUUUCUAAGGCAUGGAGCUUGUUGUGUCUAGGGCAUGGAGCUUGUUGUUUCUAAGGCAUGGAGCUUGUUGUGUCUAGGUCAUGGAGCUUGUUGUGUCUAGGUCAUGGAGCUUGUUGUUUCUAGGGAAUGGAGCUUGUUGUUUCUAAGGUAUGGAGCUUGUUGUGUCUAGGUCAUGGAGCCUGUUGUUUCUAAGGCAUGGAGCUUGUUGUGUCUAGGGCAUGGAGCUUGUUGUUUCUAAGGCAUGGAGCUUGUUUUGUUCUAGGUCAUGGAGCUUGUUGUGUCUAGGGAAUGGAGCUUGUUGUUUCUAAGGCAUGGAGCUUGUUGUGUCUAGGUCAUGGAGCUUGUUGUGUCUAGGGAAUGGAGCUUGUUGUUUCUAAGGCAUGGAGCUUGUUGUGUCUAGGUCAUGGAGCUUGUUGUUUCUAGGGAAUGGAGCUUGUUGUUUCUAAGGUAUGGAGCUUGUUGUGUCUAGGUCAUGGAGCCUGUUGUUUCUAAGGCAUGGAGCUUGUUGUGUCUAAGGUCAUGGAGCUUGUUGUUUCUAAGGCAUGGAGCUUGUUGUGUCUAGGGCAUGGAGCUUGUUGUUUCUAAGGCAUGGAGCUUGUUGUGUCUAGGUCAUGGAGCUUGUUGUGUCUAGGGAAUGGAGCUUGUUGUGUCUAGGGCAUGGAGCUUGUUGUGUCUAAGGUCAUGGAGCUUGUUGUUUCUAAGGCAUGGAGCUUGUUGUGUCUAGGUCAUGGAGCUUGUUGUUUCUAAGGCAUGGAGCUUGUUGUGUCUAGGGCAUGGAGCUUGUUGUUUCUAAGGCAUGGAGCUUGUUGUGUCUAGAUGAUGGAGCUUGUUGUGUCUAGGGAAUGGAGCUUGUUGUUUCUAAGGCAUGGAGCUUGUUGUGUCUAGGUCAUGGAGCUUGUUGUUUCUAGGGAAUGGAGCUUGUUGUUUCUAAGGUAUGGAGCUUGUUGUGUCUAGGUCAUGGAGCUUGUUGUGUCUAGGUCAUGGAGCUUGUUGUGUCUAGGUCAUGGAGCUUGUUGUGUCUAGGGAAUGGAGCUUGUUGUGUCUAGGGAAUGGAGCUUGUUGUGUCUAGGUCAUGGAGCUUGUUGUGUCUAGGGAAUGGAGCUUGUUGUGUCUAGGGAAUGGAGCUUGUUGUGUCUAGGUCACGGAGCUUGUUGUGUCUAGGUCAUGGAGCUUGUUGUGUCUAGGGAAUGGAGCUUGUUGUGUCUAGGGAAUGGAGCUUGUUGUGUCUAGGUCAUGGAGCUUGUUGUGUCUAGGGAAUGGAGCUUGUUGUGUCUAGGGAAUGGAGCUUGUUGUGUCUAGGUCAUGGAGCUUGUUGUGUCUAGGGAAUGGAGCUUGUUGUGUCUAGGGAACGGAGCUUGUUGUUUCUAAGGUAUGGAGCUUGUUGUGUCUAGGUCAUGGAGCUUGUUGUGUCUAGGGAAUGGAGCUUGUUGUGUCUAGGGAAUGGAGCUUGUUGUGUCUAGGUCAUGGAGCUUGUUGUGUCUAGGUCAUGGAGCUUGUUGUGUCUAGGGAAUGGAGCUUGUUGUGUCUAGGGAAUGGAGCUUGUUGCCUCCAGACCAUAAGAGUACUACUGUAAGCCGUUUUUGCAAGCCUGAGUUAGAUGCAGCAUACAGGGCUUUGUCUUUUGGUGGGACGAACAAAC